UACAGAGGGUGCGAGCGUUAAUCGGAAUGACUGGGCGUAAAGGGUGCGUAGGUGGUUGUUUAAGUCAGAUGUGAAAUCCCCGAGCUCAACUUGGGAAUUGCAUUUGAAACUGGGUGACUAGAGCAGAGAAGAGGAGAGUAGAAUUUCAGGUGUAGCGGUGAAAUGCGUAGAUAUCUGAAGGAAUACCAGUGGCGAAGGCGGCUCUCUGGUCUCAUGCUGACACUGAGGCACGAAAGCGUGGGGAGCAAACAGG
rnacentral:rRNA from 1 species